UUCGUAGCAUAGGCUCCGUCCAUAUAUUCCUAUGUCAAUGCACGAUACGUAUCUGGAAAUAUUGUUUGUGCCGUCCACGUUCGAUUCGCGCAUGUACGAAUCCGUCAACGUGAAAACUUUGUAAUUAUUGUACAAGUCGUAUGACGCAUGUAACACGUCGCAGCGCAGCACCAACGUUUCGAUACUGUCGCGAUAUCACACUUCGCGACAGGUGACAAUCGCAGCGUCGCGUGAGCUGGCAAUGCGUGAUCGAAAACAUGUACGAGAAUGUUUCUACUGUAUACGAGUAACGUCGUGGGAUAACAUCACUGUUUUUACUUUUUAUAGUAUAAUUAGGUUAAGUUAGGUUAGGGAAUUGGAUGAUUUUAAUGUCUAUUUGGUACGCAUAUUUUUAAUAUAUUUUUUAUCUACGAUGUUGUAUAUACUUUUUCAACAUCUUUUUACAUUUUUGCUUUUAUUGGCUUUCGUUUUCAGGAUAAAAAGAAGGAAUAGUUGGAUAAAAUUGUCGACUCGUUGAGAUUCGUUUGGAAACUGAAAGUGUAAAAUACAGGCAAAAAAUAACAGUGAAGCAACAUGAUUCUUAGGAGUAUUAAAAUACCUCCAUCUAGUUUAUAUCAUGGCAAAAAGCAGUUGCAAUUGUUGAAAAGACUAAUUACAAGCAACACUCAAGAAAAAUUUGAUGUAAUCGUCGUUGGUGGUGGUCAUGCUGGAACCGAAGCAUCUGCGGCUGCUGUUAGAAUGGGUGCCAAGACACUGUUGGUUACUCAAAAAAAAAGUACUAUAGGAGAAAUGUCGUGUAAUCCAUCCUUUGGCGGAAUCGGAAAGGGUCAUUUGAUGCGAGAAGUAGAUGCUUUGGACGGAGUGUGUUGUCGGAUAUGCGAUAUGUCGGGGAUACACUACAAAGUUUUAAACCGAUGCAAGGGACCGGCUGUGUGGGGCCUUAGGGCUCAAAUCGACAGAAUGUUGUAUAAGAAACAUCUUCAAGAAGAACUUUUUAACACGCCGGGAUUGCACAUUUACGAAUCCUCCGUAGAAGAUCUGAUUUUGUCGGCAGAGCCUCUGUCGUGCUGUGGAAUUAUUCUCAAAGAUGGAACGAAAGUAUUCGGUGAUGCGGUAGUUAUAACCACGGGAACUUUCUUAAAAGGCCAAAUAAAUAUUGGAUUAGAGAAGAGACCCGCAGGUAGAUUAGACGAUGAGCCUAGUAUCGGUUUGGCAGACACACUCGACAGGCUUGGAUUUCGAAUAGGAAGAUUGAAAACUGGCACACCGCCAAGACUAGAGAAAGAAAGCAUCGACUUUACUGCGUGCACUAUAUUUCCACCAGAUGAUUUUCCCAUACCAUUCUCGUUUAUGAAUGAUAAGGUGUGGCUACAGCCAGAUAAACAAGUGCCGACUUAUAUGACGUACACGAACGAGGGUGUUGCACGUAUCAUAAAGGAGAAUAUGCAUUGCAAUUUACACGUUACGGAGGAGAUAACGGGUCCGCGGUAUUGUCCGAGCAUAGAGAGUAAGGUUCUACGAUUCAAGAAUUCUGACCAUCAGAUCUGGCUAGAGCCGGAAGGGCUAGACUCACCGUUAAUUUAUCCGAGCGGACUGUCGUGCACUCUGCCAGAGGAGAAACAGAUUGAACUCGUUAAGUGUAUUCCAGGAUUGGAGAAUGCUCGCCUCGCUAGGCCUGGUUACGGCGUUGAAUAUGACUAUGUGGAUCCUAGAGAAUUGACCUCUCAGUUGGAGACCAAAAAAGUUCCAGGAUUGUUUCUGGCCGGACAGAUAAAUGGUACUACCGGUUACGAAGAGGCUGCCGCGCAAGGUAUCGUCGCGGGUGUCAACGCGGCCGCUAAGGUGUUUAGGAAACCGCCGCUUCUGAUAAGUCGAACUGAGGGCUAUAUCGGCGUCCUCAUUGACGAUCUAACGACGGCGGGUACCACGGAGCCGUACAGGAUGUUUACCAGCAGGGCGGAGUUUCGAGUGAGUCUACGUCCCGAUAACGCUGAUCAGAGACUGACGGAAAAGGGAUACGCAGUGGGCUGCGUUUCUCGCAAGAGACUCGACAGGACGAGGGAGACUCUUUGCAAAAUGCAAGAGAUCAUACAGAUACUCAAGAGUAAUACGCAACCAAGUAAAAAGUGGCGAAAAUUGUUGAAGUUGAAGGAAUCCAAAACAACCAAUAUCAAAUCUGCUUUCGACAUUCUGUCGAUAACUAACGAGGAUAUCACGUUUGCGCGAUUAGCAAAAUAUUUACCGGAAAUGUUGAACCAUUUGCACGACAACCCGGCUCUGGCCACAAGAAUAGAGAUCGAAGCAAAAUAUUCGCAUGUCGUUGGGACUCAGCAGGCUCAAGUAAAUGAUGUCAGAAAAAAUGAGCAAAUGGUUAUACCAGCCGAUAUUGACUACAAUAAUCCUGAACUAAAUUUAUCCAACGAAGAUCGAGAGAAACUCGCAAAACAUCUGCCAAACACGAUUGCGGCGGCUAAUAAAAUCUCAGGUGUGACUCCUUCGGCUAUAUUAAGGUUACUCUAUUACAUCAGACGUAACGCCAAUCAGAACGUUCGCUAUCUGUCACGUGAUCAUUUGUAUCGUUUACGCAUGUGUAAAACAUGGCGGGAUUCUCUCGCAAGUCGCAACUUGGCAACACUGAUGACCGAUUUCCGUUCGCUUCUCAUUUCCUUUCCGACACUGGGCGUGUGAGCAGGUAGUCGGAGUUCUUCAGUUUUCUUGGGAAGAACUCGCGAAAAGCACGUGAAAAUGACUUGAGCAAGGAACUACUUAUUGAGUUGGCCAAUAAUUUAAGCUAAUAUGGUGAAUUUUGUUCACCAAGAAAUUGCUAAGAAUAGCAGAACAUCGUAAAUGUUCAAAACAAUGGGAAAGAAAGACACCAAGGAGUAAUCGAACCAUACUAUGUUUCAUCUUGUAUGGUCUAAAACACACCAUAAUUUUAAUCAUUUCUGGAGGCGCAAAUUUGUCCAAGACUUGCUGAAACAUGAAAUGAAGAAAGAUAGCGAGAAAAAUUAUUUAUCACCAGUCGAACCAUAUUACGCUUCAACUUGCAAGAUCUGAAACAUGCUAUAAUUUUGAGCAGUUCCAAAGGCACAAAUUGAGAAGGCUGAAGCUCUUGCUGAAACGAAGAAAGACAGCGAGAAAAAUUAUUUAUCACCAGUCGAACCAUAUUACGCUUCAACUUGCAAGAUCUGAAACAUGCUAUAAUUUUGAGCACUUCCGAAGGCACAAAUUGAGAAGGCUGAAGCUCUUGCUGAAACGUAAGAUGAAGAAAGAUAGCGAGAAAAAUUAUUUAUCACCAGUCGAACCAUAUUACGCUUCAACUUGCAAGAUCUGAAACAUGCUAUAAUUUUGAGCACUUCCGAAGGCACAAAUUGAGAAGGCUGAAGCUCUUGCUGAAACGUAAGAUGACGAAGGAGUGACAUGAAAUGAAGAUACUCGUUUGAAUUUGUUGGUCAAUAUUCAAGCUUGACUUGGCAGUCAUCUUUGAUAAAGUAAACCUAUCUUUGAUAAAGUAAGGACUACCUUUAUUAUUUAUGUUUUCUUCAUUUAUUAUAUUUAGACUGAUGUUUUUAAAUAAAUUUGAAUAAAAAUUUUCC